AAUUUGAGUUGUAUUCGGCAGGAUGUGCAAAUACAAGAUUAUCAAAUUUGGCCUUUGCUCGGGGAUCGUCAACAACUCGUCACACUAUCACUAUCCACUGUUUGGUACUGCUAUAUUUUGGAUUAUUUUAUGGCAUGUAUAGAAUAAACUAGUAGCGGAAUAAUAUUCUGGUUAAUGUAUAUAAGCCAUGUGAAAAUGGCAUCUUUUGAAUGUGUACUUAUAAAA